GUCCCCUUCGUCUAGAGGCCUAGGACAUCGCCCUCUCACGGCGACAACACGGGUUCGAAUCCCGUAGGGGACGCCA
rnacentral:tRNA from 1 species